CUGAGCCCUCCGGUCCCGACUCCCAGCUGCUCGUGCCCUGACACCACUUCCCCGGUGCCAGGUCGGAGCGGAUGGGGAUCAGGGCCUGAGGUCCCGAAUAC
rfam:Microbacterium sp. Root166 contig_2, whole genome shotgun sequence.